AACAUAUUGGUGAACUUAUGUUACGGCCAUAAGAAAGAUGGGAUAGCCCAUCGUAUGUUU
rnacentral:tRNA from 1 species